CUGCUGGGCAUGCGUGGCGCUGCCGGAGCGAAGCAACGCGGAGCUCCUCCGGGUUAAGCGCGUGCCCGGCUCUGAGGGCGGGGUUCAGCCCUGCGCGGGCGGGUGGUCCUGGUCGUCGUGGGGCGUGGUGUGGGCUCUCACAGGUGUGGGCCGUGUGCUAAACACGAGGUCUCCAGAGGAGUAACAGGACAUUAAAACCGUGAUGGGCUUUGCCAGCUUCCCUGCAGCUGAAAAAGCAGUUGAGAGUAGGCUUCAGUUUUAACGGAGUGCUUUUAUGAAGUACUUUCAUAAAGAAGAAAAUGUACCAAGUGAAGGUCAUGUUGCCAGCAGUGGAAGCCAGAUCUAAAGAAUGGAGACAAGUGCCAUGUUGUACGGAUUUCAGAUUCCACUGGAAGUCAGGAAGUGAACCCCUGAUCUGAAUUCUCUACUUGAGAUGAAUAAUAGACUGAAUAUGGUAUGUGACGGCUCUGUAGAUGCUGGAGGUAUAACAUGAACCAAUACGUUGUUCUGAAAAGCUGCCAUAAGGGCCCUGUUGAGGAUUUGGAAGCAUCCUGACUACCAGACAGGUAGGAGCGCUGCUGUUCUAUCUUGGGGAGUUUACAUGUGGUGCAACAAUUGGAAAUGAUCACAUACCAAGAGGCUGUGGAGAGCUGGAGAAGGCUUGCAGAAG
rnacentral:lncRNA from 1 species